CGGCGGGGCAGGAGCCGCCUCCGCUGCCGCCCCCGGGAGGCUGGAGCUGCUGCAGGGGCAGAGCCUCUGUCCCGCUAUUUCUUUUCGGGGGGCUGGGUAACGCUGCUGAGCCCUGGUGCAUUAAUACCGUUUAAUUUUUGUUUCCACGGCCAAAGCCAGCCACGCAGGCAGGGGACUGCGAGAAGCGCUGCCUGCUCCACGCAGCCACUGCGCGCUGAAAUAGCUAUUCAACUCUACAUCUACUCGAAAAAAAGUUUUAAGGAACAAUGCGCCACUGCACAAAAGGAUUGCCAGGACAGCAAAGCUGACCCAGCUGUGAGGAAUUAAUUUAUUCUCCCUCCUGCACUGUACCUGAGGAGCAUGGCUGCAGUGCAGCCCUCUUCAAGGGAAAGGAUAAAGGAAAGGACAAAAAUAACUCUGAGAAGCCAAAGCUGUGUAUCCUAUAUGGGAAAAGACAAUAACCAUCUCUAUCUAGCUCAGGUUUUUAACAGUACAAUAAUGCAGCUUGGAAUAUAUUACAGGCAGAGAGAUCAAAUGUUCUCUCUCACAAAUUUUGUCAAUGGUUUCUGAUUCACGGUACCUUAAAAAUGGUUAAACCACUAAACAAAGCCCACUGCAAAGUCCAGUAAGGCAAAAAAAGGAGCCCACUUCAGACAAGUUCCCCACUGGGGGGAUUUUCUGAGGAGGCAGGGACUCCUCUCCCUCCACGAGUCGGCGUCCUUGGAGGUGACGUAGCGCUCGGUGAGUCGAAGAGAAAUGCUUUAUGUUCACCAUUCCCCACCCUGGAACAGGUCUUGGACAGCCGUGCUGGCCACUGCUGCCGCCGGCGGAGCAGGCUGCCAUGUUGCUGCAGACAGCGGGGCUUGAUGGCCCCGGCGCAAUGCCGAAAGGCGCCUCACUGCUUCCCGAGUAGGUUUUGCAAUCGGUGAGGUUAGGUGCCUGGCCAUGGAGGGCUGCUCCAAAGAAAUGGAGCAAAAUGCCUACGAGAAGACUGAGCCGAAUUGAUUGACUCCCUCGGCCUGCAAGCCUGCAGCUGGGACUGAGACUGGAUCCUUUUAGGCAGCUGAGAGUCUGGUCUCCCAGCACUUUGACGAUUUUUGUGCAGCACUCGAUGUUCUUGCUGUGUGAUAGGCAUGCCCAAGGGUAACUCAGCACACUAGAGACACCAGCAGAAGCGUGCAAUAUGUUCUGCAGCUCCUACAUAGAGCUUUUCUGCAAUUUUUUCUUUUUUUUUUUAGAUUUAGGUACAUUAAUCACACUUCAGUCCUAUGCUCAAGUGCUCUUCUCAGCCUCAUCUGAAUAGCUAUAUAUGAAGAGAUCCCAAGUGAUGUUAUUCUUUCAGGUGAGAACAAGUUCCACUUGUAAAAUGAAUUUGAAGCUCCUGAAUUGACGCAUUACUAAUGAAAAGUAAUGUUCAGUGAAAGAUUUCCUUAGGCAACCCAGCAGAGGACAGAUGUUACGUGAA
rnacentral:lncRNA from 1 species